CCUACGGGAGGCAGCAGUAGGGAAUAUUGCUCAAUGGGGGAAACCCUGAAGCAGCAACGCCGCGUGGAGGAUGAAGGUUUUAGGAUUGUAAACUCCUUUUGUUAGAGAAGAUUAUGACGGUAUCUAACGAAUAAGCACCGGCUAACUCCGUGCCCGCAUCCGCGGUAAUACGGAGGGUGCAAGCGUUACUCGGAAUCACUGGGCGUAAAGCGUGCGUAGGCGGGGUAAUAAGUCAGAUGUGAAAUCCUGUAGCUUAACUACAGAACUGCCUUUGAAACUGUUACUCUGGAGUGUGGGAGAGGUAGGUGGAAUGCUUGGUGUAGGGGUAAAAUCCGUAGAGAUCAAGCGGAAUACUCAUUGCGAAGGCGACCUGCUGGAACAUUACUGACGCUGAUGCACGAAAGCGUGGGGAUCAAACAGGAUUAGAUACCCGAGUAGUC
rnacentral:rRNA from 1 species